GAGGGAGAUCACUCUAGGUCAGCCUGUCCUUUACAUUGCGGAGAGCUUGAAAGGGGCUCAUAAACCCAGCAGCCUAUGGCAAAGAGUGCGACCGUGUACCGAGCUCUCCACUGAACCCUGGGAGUGUUGUAGGACCAAAGGUUUGGUCUUCACACUGACGAAGCUCCCACGCCGGCAGACAAUUCCUGCUACUACACUAGCAGUAUCCACGAGUGAUGACAGUAAAGAGGGAUGCGUGCAGGGAGGGGAAAUGUGGGGUGCAGGAAAACAGAGGGCAAGUCAAGGAAGACCUCCCUGAGCUGGGACCAGACCUGUGAGUCCCAAUAAAAUGCACGGCAGCAGCCAAGAUGCACUGUGGGACCGGUCACACAUCUUACAACAACCUGGGAGAUUCGCAGAAGACACAGGCAGCCAUCUUAUCAUGAAAAUCUUCCAGGUUCUUAAUCACAUAAUGUGUGUGAUGUAAGUACCUAUCUUA